rnacentral:lncRNA from 1 species
CCACUAGGAAAAAUUUUGCCUCCUUUUCCUGUGACUACCUUUAGUUUUGCUGGCUGGAAGUUUUGGUCUCAGAUCAGGUAGCACUCCUGCCAGGAGCCACAAUAAACAUUCCAUUGAACUGGAACCUCAGACUUCUCCUUGGGCCUCUGAUGCCCUUAAGACAACAGGCUAAGAAAGGAAUAACUUUUUUAGGAGGGGUGAUUGAUUCAAAUUGCUUCUUCACAAUUGAGAUAAAGAAGAUUAUGUUUGGAGCACAAGAGGUCCUUGAGGGUUUCUCUUGGUUACUACCAUGCCCUGUGGUUAAAGUUAGUGGGAAACCACAACAGCCUAAUACAGGUAGGAUGACAAAGGACACAGACCCUUCAGGAAUGAAGGUUGGGUCAUUCUGAGAAAAAGCGCCAAGACCUGAUAAGGUAUUUGCUUGAAGGUGGAGGGAAGGCAGACGGAGCAGUAGAGGAAGAUACUUAGAAAAACUAGCCACGGCUGCAUGAUCAGUUGCACAAGUGACUUAUAAUUGGCAUGAGUUUCUGUCAUACAUUGUUAUGCGUGUUUGUACAAAUAUUUGUUUUCUUUCUUCAAUGCGUUUAUCAUGUAACAUCAAUUAAGGGGACAUCAGUGCUUGUAAUUCUAAGUCCCAGUACCUCAGUGGACCGUGCCACCUAGUCUCAAGCUUACGUGUUCGCAGUUGCAUGAGGGACAGUUCUACCAUGCCAAGCGUAAUCACCAACGGGCUAAAUAGCUGCCUCAUGCUCCUGCCACUGAAUCAUCCCAGAACACUACCCUGAAACUGUGAAGGCAGAACAAACCUUCCUUCCCUGUACUAUCAGGAAUUGGUUUCAGCACUGAGAAAAGUUACCAGAAUGGACUUGAAUUUGGCAACUUGGCAACAGAUUAGUCAACCUGAUCCUUGGAAAUCAGACUCACCAAACUCUCGAGUGUUUUAGUUCCUGUUACUAUACACUUUCUGCAUAGUCCGGUUGCCGCAGACCACCCAGGGGAGUGUGUCAGCAGAGUGACCAAGGCUUGGAUUUCAGGUAGAGAACGGAUUCGUCGCGACAGACAGAUCCAAACUCGAGGUGUGUGCUGCUGCAAAAAGCUUUACUUCUUGGCAUAGAUUUAAGCAGUUAGAACAGGUACAUCAUAAUUGGCAGUCAUCCAGCUCUUAUUCAUCACCCCACCAAAUGUCCCUUGUAAGGAGGAAAGCAGAAC